rnacentral:rRNA from 1 species
CCUACGGGAGGCAGCAGUGAGGAAUAUUGGUCAAUGGGCGCGAGCCUGAACCAGCCAAGUAGCGUGAAGGAUGACUGCCCUACGGGUUGUACACUUCUUUUAUAAAGGAAUAAAGAGAGGCACGUGUGCCUGUUUGUAUGUACUUUAUGAAUAAGGAUCGGCUAACUCCGUGCCAGCAGCCGCGGUCAUACGGAGGAUCAGAGCGUUAUACGGAUUUAUGGGGUUUAAAGGGAGCGUAGACGGGUUGUUAAGUCAGCUGUGAAAGUUUCCGGCUCAACCGUAGAAUUGCAGUUGAUACUGGCGGUCUUGAGUCCAGUUGAGGUAGGCGGAAUUCGUGGUGUAGCGGUGAAAUGCUUAGAUAUCACGAAGAACUCCGAUUGCGAAGGCAGCUUACUGAACUGCCACUGACAUUGAUGCUCGAAAGUGUGGGUAUCGAACAGGAUUAGAUACCCUUGUAGUC